GUGGGGAAUAUUGGACAAUGGGCGAAAGCCUGAUCCAGCCAUGCCGCGUGUGUGAAGAAGGUCUUCGGAUUGUAAAGCACUUUAAGUUGGGAGGAAGGGCAUUAACCUAAUACGUUAGUGUUUUGACGUUACCGACAGAAUACGCACCGGCUAACUUCGUGCCAGCAGCCGCGGUAAUACGAAGGGUGCAAGCGUUAAUCGGAAUUACUGGGCGUAAAGCGCGCGUAGGUGGUUCGUUAAGUUGGAUGUGAAAGCCCCGGGCUCAACCUGGGAACUGCAUCCAAAACUGGCGAGCUAGAGUACGGUAGAGGGUGGUGGAAUUUCCUGUGUAGCGGUGAAAUGCGUAGAUAUAGGAAGGAACACCAGUGGCGAAGGCGACCACCUGGACUGAUACUGACACUGAGGUGCGAAAGCGUGGGGAGCAAACAGGAUUAGAUACCCCGGUAGUCC
rnacentral:rRNA from 1 species